CAUUUAUCCGAGGCUAAGGCCACCUUGUCCCCACUGCCGGGUCAGGGCCUGCGGGCUGGGAGGCUGAGGACGGGCCACCCUCAUCCAGUGUGCGCCCCUGUCUCUGGCCGCCCAGGACGCCCACCAGGAGACGCCGACCUCCCAGAGAAGUGAGAAGCUGAGAAAUUAGCUUCUCCUCCCUCCCCGCGCUCAGCCACUUCCCCUGGGAGCCUCACUCCAUGUGCAGGCAGCUGGAGACUGGCUGCAGCGCCCCUCCGGGCAGAAUGAGGAGGGAGACAGCGGGAUAACCUGCAUGGACGCCCUUAGGCAUGGUUUGCCUUCUUUUCACUUCCCUGGAAGACUUCGAAGCCAGGACCCAUGACGAUGCCCCAUUUUCAUCCUCCUAAGAAGCAUGUGCUGCCUGUCAGGAGAACCAGCCCCUUGGACGCCAGCUGUCCUUAUCAUGGGACAGAAAUCAGCAGAAGAAUCCGAGUGAAAAAGCCAUCCUCUCCCAUCCACUCCUUCUCGCCACUGAUAGCAGAUAAAGGUGGUCUCGGCAGAAAUAUGUGCUCGGAUCACCGGAUUUUGUGUGUGGGUGGGUAGCCUCACAUUUGGGACUCUGUUUGGCAAAGCCUUGUGCUUUGGGAGCUUGAAGCCAGCCGAGGUGGGCUGGUCCAUCCCUGGAACAGCUGUGGGCAGGGGGCAGGUGGGGACGUUUUCCCAGAGCCCCGAGGUCUUGGGAUCAAGUGCGCUUCGAUCAUGGGGAUGGGCAGGCAGACAGAUGGCCCGAUCACAGCCAGUGGCAGGUUCUGUACGAUGCGUGAGGGAGCCUGGCUGUCUUCACCCACGUUGCUGGGCCCCCAAGGUAUCUGGUGAGCACUCACAGUGUGUGCACGGCUGUCUGACUGCGGUCUCACCCACCCUGAGCACGUGCCUGAGGGCCCCCUCCUUCCAGAGGAGUGGCCAGGGGCCAGCGUGGAGGGAAAGAGAAUGCUUCAGUGCACCCUCAGCUCCCACACUUCAGGGCACCCUCAGCUCCCAGCACUCUGCAAGAGGAACGUGCAAUAGAAAAGUAACAGCAUGGAUGAAGAGUCAGGGUCAUGGGAAGACGGACGAUCCUGAACGAGGAAGGUGAACCCCGGGAUGAGGCGGGGGCAGGAACAGGCCGCUUCCACAGUUGCUGUGGCCGAGGGUCCAAAUUCCCAGCAGCCAAAGGGAGAAUCUGCCUGCAGUGU